GAGUUGUAUCAUUUGCUAUCAUUUAAUACAAAUAUCUGGUAUAUUCUCGUAUAUUAAAAAAUAUUAGAAAAAUAUUACAAAACCAGUUGUUACAGUAACGAUUCUCUUCCCUUUCGUUCGUGUUACUCUUCUAUAUUUAGAUAAGUAAUAUACAUAUUUUUAUCAGGUCGUGGGACGAUUGUUUUUUGCCAUAAUAAUUAACAUUCUAACCGGAACGAUUUUUUAUAGCAGCAUAAAUAAGAGAUGCGUAGACGCAUUUUGGUCGAAAGUGGUGGGGGAAUGUGGCGGCGCGCGAUAUGAUAGCGUUUUGAGAUGGUUCAGUUCCGCGCCGUCUCACGUGCGCGACACAUUUCGACAAACGUGGAAUCAUCGGUGUGACAAAUCCUGCCAUACGUACCUUUAAAUUAAUUUCAUUUUUACAUCUAUCACCUAUUAUCGUUUCUUAUUAUAUUAUUUCUUUCACGAUUCAUUCAUACCUGGCACAUUUUUAUUCGUCUUCCGUUUUAUUAGAAAAAUUUCGUUGGAUAUUUUUUUACGCAUCUAUCCUUUUCUUAUUACCUUUUUUCAUUACGAUCCGUUAGACAACGAAAUACAGUGUGACAGUGCGUUCAGUGCUCUUGGAUAUAAUCAUGGAUAAGAGAAGCGAACGAGUCAGCCGUUUCAAACAGAAUUGCUUCGAAACAUUAAACAUAUUAUAUAAAAUUGACUUACAUUUGGAUUAUUUACCUUCGCUCGUCUACGAAGUGUCGUAUCGAAUAUUAUUUAUUCUUUGGAUAUGUACCUGUGCCUCAUCUCUGUUGCGGUAACAUGCCGAGUGAAGUGGUGGGGGCGCGACGUAGUGGGGAGAUACGGUGGCACGCAGCGAUCAGUUCCAUGCUGCGCGCGACACGGUAAACGUUGUCAUAACGUCCGUUCUCGUUCUCCACUCGAAAAUAGUGUGCUUCCGCGAUUUUUUCGGCCGUGAAAGUGACAUCUAUCUACGUAGCAUCUUGUUUCGUUUUCCUAUUCGAUUUUUACAGAGCACGUAUUUGUACGCGUCGGAGGUGUCGGAGUGAUCAGUGUUUUUUCUCGUGGAGUGACAUAUUAGUGACGAAUAUCGCGUUGACAGUGUACCAAACGUCGUUUAACAAAGGAAUCGUCCCCCUGAAAGGAACAUUUCGUGCAAAAUAGCUCAAUUAUCGAGUAAAAACAUUUGUCCUUCUCGUAUAUCGGAGUUCAUCAAUUCGCGGGUGUCUACCUAACCUCAUCUUGACCAACGUAGUACAAACUCCAAACAUUUCUGGAAGAUGAUUCGUUAUUGCAAAAAGAGCAGCCAAUCAGAGCUCGUGGAUUCCGUGGACCAGGAAUAUUCUUCUUCUUCCUGCAUAACUUUUUGGCGGGACAACAUGUGGACGUCACGUAUUACGCAGUGUGCCGUGUUUUGAAAUGCGAGAACGAAGAUAAAAACGGUGUUUGUUAUGUGUCUCGAGGUCAAUGACGCGCGUAAUUAAAUUCCAGCCGUUCGUAUUUAUUAUAUCUCAAUAAGUCGUAGAACGCGCGAUGUUGUCUUUGCCGUGGGCAGUGGCCAAACCGAGGCGAUUUCAGCGGAAAUCGCGUUUCUCGGAAUCGCGUGUGACUGACGCUAUGACACGAGGACAAUGCUCGGAAUUUCGGUUUUGAAUUUUGCCUUGACGUGACACGCGUCGACGAGGCUCGAUGUAGUGCGCGGAUUGCUAUGACAUUUGGCUUUGACUGAGUGGCUGCUAGAGUGCCGUAUCUCUAUCAUCCCCGGGGGAUCUGAUUUAUGUUGCACGUGUACCAAAUUUCCUGCGACAUCGUUGAUCGGUGCUGGAGUCUCGGAGGCCCGUGGCGCGAUGAAUCGCGUGGAUCAUUGGCGCCCGAAGGGAGAUUCUUCGCCUUCUUCGGCUCGCAACGACGACACGAUCCGACGCUGUCGACGAAAGGCAUCCGCCAGCGGAGCUUUUUACAGAUAGUAGAAAAUCAGCAGACGAUAAUGGACUGGUGUAGCCACGUGCAGUCCUUGCGAGCCACGUAGACCUAGGCCAAAAAUGAUGCGCAUGGAUUACCAUACCCUUGGUCGUGGUCGCGAAAAUGCCGCUUCUGCUAGCGACGAGGAGAAUCAAUCAGGACACUCGAGCGACCGUGAUCCCACGAUGGAUCCCGGCGCCGCGAAUUCGAAGGACCCUCGUACGUCAACCGCAAUCGUCCCAAUAAAAAUAUUUCCUCCCCUGGCACGGAACGCGCUGGAUUUCCUUCCCGAACGCCAAGAAAGAACCCAGAAGAAAUAGAUUCUCCCAUUCCGAGGAAUAUUUCCCUGUGUAGAGGGGGGAAACUUCGGGUUCCACAUUUUCCAAAUUCUUUCCCUCAAACAACGAUAAAUAGUCCCUCAAAUAUCUCGACGUCUAACAACCAAUAACUAGACGAUGAAUAUCUAUGCAAAUUCAUAUUUCUAUCAACAUAACUAGAAGAAUGAAAUCUGGAUAGGAAAUUGUUUUACCUAAUAAGACAACUGUAAUAUCUAAAUUGUAUUUAUUUAAAGAAAAAGACAGAAAGAAAUUUAUUUUUAUAUUCAAAAGUUUUACAUUCAUCAACAACGCAAAACAUAUAUUACGUCACAUUAAAAAUAUAUCGCUAGGAAUAUCAGUCGAUCACGAAGCUAUGCCACGUUUGAAAAAUUCACUCGAUUUUAAUUCGCUUUAAAUUGAUUUUUAUUCGACUGGCGCGAAAUACAAUAGAAAGUGAAGCGAAUUGUUUCUUUCUAUUCUACAUGGUUGUUAUAUGGAUCAGUAGGGUACACUUAUUUAACGACACGACAAACUUCGAAUCUCUUCGUUUCUUUCGCAAAGUGAUUGCGUAACGAUGGUGCGGAGGUAGCAUUACGCAAUCGUUACCUUCCUCGUUAAAGAAUUAAAAGAAUUCGCGUCGCCUCUCAGACAAACAAACGCUGGCGGCGUUAAAACAUGGUUUCGCCACUUGUCGAAAUAAAUUACCGCCACACCCGGCCGUAAAUGGGCGUGUAAGCGGUUUCACCCUGGUCAAAGACUCCUCUAGAAAUAAACGUACAGAUCGCAAUUAUCUAGAGACCAGCAAGAGGAUCUCCGACCGACGUUUCUCUCUUCAUCUUCGCAACGUGUCCGUUUGGAUGGACAACGCGCGAGCCUAACUCACUAAUCUCCUCCCGUGAGAGAUCAGAGCGGAGGAAUAUGAAAGCAAAGGUCGUGGAUACUGCUUCGUCACGUGCCUCUAUUAGACGAGUCUGAGGAAAGACUUUUUCUUAAGUUU